UUAAAGUUUUAAUCUAGCUUAAAAAAUUAAUAAUAUGUUUUUUUUACAUGUAAAUUUUUGUAUUUAUUUAUAUAAUUUUAGAUAAAUUAUAUAUUUUAUAAUUCGCAGUGAUUAAUUUUAUAAAUUAAGGAAAUUUUGAUUUAGAAAUCUAUUAUAGUAUUGACAAAAUUUGUGCCAGCAGUUGCGGUUAUACAAAUAAUACAAUUAAUUUAUAUUAGCAAAUAGUUAAUUAUUAUUAUAAAAAUUAUACUUUUAAAUUUAUUAAGUGAAAUUUUAAAUUUAAUUAAAUUUUUUAAAAAUUUUAUGAAGCUAUUAAAUUUUUAUUUAAACUAGGAUUAGAUACCCUAUUAUUUUAAAUGUAAAUAAAAAUUCUAAAUUAGUAUUAGUUAUAUUCUUUAAAGUUAAAGAUUUUGGCGGUAUUUUAGUCUUUUCAGAGGAACCUGUUCUAUAAUCGAUAAUCCACGAUUAAUUUUAUUUGUUUUAAUUAAUUUGUAUAUCGUCGUAGUUUGAAUAUUUUAUAAGAAUUUAAAUAUUCAUAAUUUUUUAUAAAAAAAGAAAUCAGAUCAAGGUGCAGUUUAUAGACAAGCAGUAAUGGGUUACAAUAAUAUUAUUUAUAUGGUGUAAAAUUUGAAAUAAUUUUACUAAAGUGGAUUUGAAAGUAAUAUAUUUUAUUUUAAAUAUAUGAUUUAAGCUCUAAAAUAUGCACAUAUCGCCCGUCGCUCUCGUUUAAAAUGAGAUAAGUCGUAACAAAGUAGUUGUACUGGAAAGUGUAUCUAGAAUUAA
rnacentral:ncRNA from 1 species